rnacentral:rRNA from 1 species
CCUACGGGAGGCUGCAGUGAGGAAUAUUGGUCAAUGGACGAGAGUCUGAACCAGCCAAGUAGCGUGAAGGAUGACUGCCCUAUGGGUUGUAAACUUCUUUUAUAUGGGAAUAAAAUGUUCCACGUGUGGGAUUUUGUAUGUACCAUAUGAAUAAGGAUCGGCUAACUCCGUGCCAGCAGCCGCGGUAAUACGGAGGAUCCGAGCGUUAUCCGGAUUUAUUGGGUUUAAAGGGAGCGUAGGUGGAUUGUUAAGUCAGUUGUGAAAGUUUGGGGCUCAACCGUAAAAUUGCAGUUGAAACUGGCAGUCUUGAGUACAGUAGAGGUGGGCGGAAUUCGUGGUGUAGCGGUGAAAUGCUUAGAUAUCACGAAGAACUCCGAUUGCGAAGGCAGCUCGCUGGACUGCAACUGACACUGAGGCUCGAAAGUGUGGGUAUCAAACAGGAUUAGAUACCCUUGUAGUC